UGCGAUUAUUUAAAUAGAUUGUUUAAUUUGUUUUUCAAUUAUUUUUUGUUAAACUGAGAUAUGAUUAUGUUUUUGCAUAGAGGGAGAUUUAUUUUUUCGACCAAGCUAGAGAAGCUAUUAUGUAACUAUAAUUUGGCGAUCCAAUAAACUUAAAAACUCUACAGUUAUUCCAUGAUAGAUUUGAGAAACAGAGGAAAUGCAGAGAAAUUGAGAGAAUGGUCUAUUUUGAUACUUGCUGAGAAGGUAGCGUUGUUUUUUCUUGAUUUUGCAAUUUUCAUGAGCUUCUUCUACUUUUCUACUUUUCUUCUUUCCCUUUUUAUUUAUUGCAAAAAGAACUUCAUAUUCCUUGAUGCCAUUGUUUUUGGCCCCGAAGGUGCAAUAUUUCUACUACGUAGAAGAGUGGGUUCAACCCCAGGAUCGACAUGCUUGAUUUUAUUAGUAGAGGGUAUUUUCGUCAUUUCAGUUUGUAUGACCUAUUUUAUGUUAAUCCACGUGUUUAUGGCAGCCACCGCAUCAUUAUACGUGGAAGUUCCGUAUCUAUGUUCAUCCAAAACCUCUCUGAUUUCAGCCGAUCAAGUUGCACUAAACGGUAGAUGCUGCCUGAUUAAAAGUCGCCUUCUUCGUUCUCCUCGAAUCUAUUUACUGUCUCUGUUUCUUUUAAUGGUUUCUCCGUUGUCACUAUGAGCUUCUUUGAUGUUUCUCUUGGGUCUUCUGAUUGCUUUGAUGCUUAUAUAUUUUCUACAUCUCCUUUUUCUUUAUUUUUUUAAUCCUUUGUUCAUGACUAUAUUUUUAUGUUGUCGUGGUGGUAAUAUCAUAAAUUGACUAACUUAUCUGAUUUGUUUGUUGUGGAGGAGGUUCUAGCUGAAAGAUCAGGUCAACCCUUCCUUUCGAUCAUUGUCUUUGUAAUAUCAAAAGAGAGCUUUCCAUCCUUAAGGUCUUUCAAUCUCAAGGAGUUGCCAGUAAACUAUCCUUCCACCAACUACUGAGAUACAGGUAUUCGCAGCAAAUUCCUCCAUAUCUUCCUCAUAUACUUCCACAAACAUUCACCAUAUGAUCAUGACACUGAUUUUGUGCAUAAAGGAUCAGUCUUGCUGAUGUACAUUCUCCUACUUCACCAUCAGCUCUAUUUUCCUUAUAAGCAUUGACUACCAACUAAUCAGUGAAAAUAUUUUUUUAAAAGAAAGUGGUAGUAUAAUAUAGUAGUUGACUGCAUGCCUUUGAGAAGGCUUCCGUGCUCUCUUACUCAUUAGAUAGACAGCAUUCAUAUAUUUAGAAAGGCUUUUCCCCUUUUAUCUUAAUUUUAAACACUCUGGAUUCCAUUGGAAGGCCUACAUGAAGCUUGCUUUAUUUUUUGGAUGCCAUCUUCUAAUGUUUGUUGAAAACAGUAGGGAAAAUGAAGCUUGUUAUGGAUUUUUAAAGCUCUUUUUAAUGAAUCUUUUAUGGCACUUUGAGCUCUUCGUGGGUGAUUGAAAACUUUCAUAUCCAAUAUAGCCCACUCACUCUUAAUAUCAAUCUCGCUACCUUGAUUUGCAUCAACAGGUAAGUCUUUCCAAGUGCUUAGACGGAUAACCCCAUGUUAUGUGAACAUGUUCUUCUUAUUCUUCGACAUUGCUAUGCUUCCUUUCGACAUACUUCGAGUUACCCUUCUAGCUGUCACUUUGCUUUAUAAGAAACUUUUUUGUUUUACGUAGUUUUAGCUGUAGAAAAAUAAAGCAAUAAUUCUCAUGUUUUUACACUUUCACAUCAAUCCUCAAUUAAUAUAUAUUGAAGUUCUGCAAUUAGGAAAGGAUUUAUGUUAUUUUAAACUUAUUCUUUUCUUACUUUGGAUUACAGAACCCUUUCAUGGGCAUAGGAAAUGUCGUAGAGAGGUUUAGUAAUUUCAAAGGUAAAUUUUUUAAGAAUAUACAAGAAGUAUUUAGUAAUAUGUUCUAGCCAACAUAUUGUCUUGCUUGGUGUUGGGUUAUUUAUCUUAUUUGAGUUGGAAUUGGGUUACUGAACUCCACCUUCUCUGAAUCCCAUUUCAGAAAGUCAGGUCUAAGGCAGAUGGUUUCCCUUGCUUGCAUAAUUCAUUUGGUUUGGAAGUUAGUGUUCGAGAGUAGCAAACCGGAACAUUAUGAUUUCCCUCAUUCUCUGUUUUUUUUAUAAA